rnacentral:rRNA from 1 species
GAUGAACGCUGGCGGUCUGCUUAACACAUGCAAGUCGAACGGAAUCCCUCGGGAUUUAGUGGCGGACGGGUGAGUAACACGUAAGAACCUGCCUCUAGGACGGGGACAACAGUUGGAAACGACUGCUAAACCCGGAUGAGCCGAAAGGUAAAAGAUUUAUCGCCUAGAGAGGGGCUUGCGUCUGAUUAGCUAGUUGGUAAGGUAAAGGCUUACCAAGGCGACGAUCAGUAGCUGGUCUGAGAGGAUGAUCAGCCACACUGGGACUGAGACACGGCCCAGACUCCUACGGGAGGCAGCAGUGGGGAAUUUUCCGCAAUGGGCGAAAGCCUGACGGAGCAAGACCGCGUGGGGGAGGAAGGUUCUUGGAUUGUCAACCCCUUUUCUCAGGGAAGAACACAAUGACGGUACCUGAGGAAAAAGCAUCGGCUAACUCCGUGCCAGCAGCCGCAGUAAAAC